UUGACCAUUUUGAGAAAGGAUCUUGCUAGGUUACUUAGGGCCUUGGUAAGUUGCUGAGGCUGGCUUUGAGCUUGUGAUCCUCUUCCCUUACCCUCCUGAGUUGCUGGGAUCACAGGUGUGUGCUACUCCAUCUGGAUAACAUCUCACUUUUAUCCUGACAUUUUACAUCUGUAUUUUUAUCCAACGCAUUAGGACCAUACAAUUUCAAACUGCCCAACUGUAUGUGCCUUCUCAUUUAUUCAUUCAUUCACUUGUUCAUUCAUUCUUUAGAAAAUUCCUGAUUGUGUCAUUGCUCCAGAGUGACGCUGCACAGACUUCAAUACACCUGGGACUCACCUGGGGUCCUGUUGAUAUGAAGAAUCAGGUGUGAGGGGAGCCAGACCAAGGUCAUUCAGCUCAUCAAUGCCUAUAAGAGCUUUUCCCCUGACUUGAUCCAAUGAGUCCUCCACGACAGUAAUGCCACAUUUCAGGGGCACCAACAGAAAGCCAGCUCAAAUUGUCACCAGAGACAAGGAGGCCAAAGUGGGGGAGAACUGUAAUUAAACAAAUAAGAGAAAGUAUUUGUUUUGGUUUGAUUUUUGAAGCUGCUCAUCAACAGUUCCUCUUCCUUGUAGAAUCUUGAAGCUUUCUAAACAUCACCCAGUCCCUCAUUCUCAGCUAUGCCUUUCGGGUGAAUUUGGCCUCACCACCAGCCCCAGGUAUUCUCCUUUAGGAUUCACAAGAAGCUCCAUCCUGUUACAAACCUUUCUAAAUGGAUUCAUUUAUCAGAUUACAUUCCUCCCCACAAAUGAGUGCUGGGAAAGCAAGCAAACUAAAGGCACGGCUGAUGCUAGCACUCCUAGGUACACAAUUUUCUCUGUUUGGAGCUGUUUCCAAAGGAUGGCUUCUAUUCUUACAUCCCCUUUGACACCUGGGGAAGAGCCUAAACCUGGAGACACCUACGACUUCCCACCAGAGGUCACAGGGCAACAAUUGAGGAAUAAAGUUGACUUAUGACUUCAAAGUUCUCCCGAUUCAACCAAGAGUUAACCCAAAAGGCCUCAGAGGACUCUAACAAGCAACAGAGCAUUGUUUUUGCAUUACAAACCACACCAGGGAGAAGAAUAACAUUUAUUUAAUGGAUGCUGUGCAAAAGGUAUUCACAUUUCAUGCUUCAGGGCUUAAGCCGAUCCCAGAUCAGGAGGGAACGUUUCUGUGCUCGGAAUUGUACAGCUGGCAGGGGCGACGGCAGGAAGCCUGGAGGAUGGAGGAAGGCUGGGACAGUAGUAUGAACAUGGCUUUCAAGCUAGAAAGAUUAAUACAAGCGCAACCCAACUUUAUCCCCUAAAUGAGUGAGAAAUCAUAAAUUGUUUAUUCAUUGGCAUUCAAUUUCCUGAUCUAGAAGAAGGAAUAAUAAAGCCUACCUUGCAGACCUGUUAUGAAAAUCCAGGAAAGUCACAUGUCAAAUGCAUGGUCCAUAGAAGACGGAAGUCGGAUCACGGUCUCCCUUCUCUUGGGAGGAAAUCUAGUUUGUUCUGGAACUAACUUGCUAAGUAACUUCUGCCAAGUCAUUCACAUUUCCUGUGAGUUUCAUCUUUCAUCUGCAAAAUAAGAGAAACCUCUAUCUCACCUUCCCUGCAGGAUUAUUGGAAGGAUUAAAUGAGAUGUUCAUUAAAACAGGAAUUUUGCAAGACAAAAAAAAAAAAGAGAG